UACGGAGGGUGCAAGCGUUAUCCGGAUUCACUGGGUUUAAAGGGUGCGUAGGAGGGCAGGUAAGUCAGUGGUGAAAUCUCCAAGCUUAACUUGGAAACUGCCGUUGAUACUAUCUGUCUUGAAUACCGUGGAGGUGAGCGGAAUAUGUCAUGUAGCGGUGAAAUGCUUAGAUACGACAUAGAACACCAAUUGCGAAGGCAGCUCGCUACACGAAUAUUGACUCUGAGGCACGAAAGCGUGGGGAUCAAACAGG
rnacentral:rRNA from 1 species